rnacentral:rRNA from 1 species
GGGGAAUAUUGGACAAUGGGCGAAAGCCUGAUCCAGCCAUGCCGCGUGAGUGAUGAAGGCCUUAGGGUUGUAAAGCUCUUUUACCCGGGAAGAUAGUGACGGCACCGGGAGAAUAAGCCCCGGCUAACUUCGUGCCAGCAGCCGCGGUAAUGCGAAGGGGGCUAGCGUUGUUCGGAUUUACUGGGCGUAAGGCGCACGUAGGCGGAUUCUUAAGUCAGGGGUGAAAUCCCGAGGCUCAACCUCGGAACUGCCUUUGAUACUGGGGAUCUUGAGUCCGGAAGAGGUGAGUGGAACUGCGAGUGUAGAGGUGAAAUUCGUAGAUAUUCGCAAGAACACCAGUGGCGAAGGCGGCUCACUGGUCCGGAACUGACGCUGAGGUGCGAAAGCGUGGGGAGCAAA